rnacentral:rRNA from 1 species
GACGAACGCUGGCGGCGUGCCUAACACAUGCAAGUCGAGCGAGAGACUUCGGUCUCUAGCGGCGGACGGGUGAGUAACACGUGGGUAACCUGCCUCGUAGUGGGGGAUAGCCUUCCGAAAGGAAGAUUAAUACCGCAUAACAUCAAAUUGCCCGCAUGGUAGUUUGAUCAAAGGAGUAAUCCGCUAUGAGAUGGACCCGCGGCGCAUUAGCUAGUUGGUGAGGUAACGGCUCACCAAGGCGACGAUGCGUAGCCGACCUGAGAGGGUGAUCGGCCACAUUGGAACUGAGAUACGGUCCAAACUCCUACGGGAGGCAG